GAUGAACGCUGGCGGCGUGCCUAAUACAUGCAAGUCGAGCGAAUGGAUUAAGAGCUUGCCCUUAUGAAGUUAGCGGCGGACGGGUGAGUAACACGUGGGUAACCUGCCCAUAAGACUGGGAUAACUCCGGGAAACCGGGGCGAAUACCGGAUAACAUUUUGAACCGCAUGGUUCGAAAUUGAAAGGCGGCUUCGGCUGUCACUUAUGGAUGGACCCGCGGCGCAUUAGCUAGUUGGUGAGGUAACGGCUCACCAAGGCAACGAUGCGUAGCCGACCUGAGAGGGUGAUCGGCCACACUGGGACUGAGACACGGCCCAGACUCCUACGGGAGGCAGCAGUAGGGAAUCUUCCGCAAUGGACGAAAGUCUGACGGAGCAACGCCGCGUGAGUGAUGAAGGCUUUCGGGUCGUAAAACUCUGUUGUUAGGGAAGAACAAGUGCUAGUUGAAUAAGCUGACACCUUGACGGUACCUAACCAGAAAGCCACGGCUAACUACGUGCCAGCAGCCGCGGUAA
rnacentral:rRNA from 1 species